rnacentral:rRNA from 1 species
CAAUAGCGUAUAUUAAAGUUGUUGCGGUUAAAAAGCUCGUAGUUGGAUUUCUGUUGAGGACGAUCGGUCCGCCCUCUGGGUGAGUAUCUGGCUCGGCCUUGGCAUCUUCUUGGAGAACGUUGCUGCACUUCACUGUGUGGUACGGUAUCCAGGACUUUUACUUUGAGGAAAUUAGAGUGUUUCAAGCAGGCGCACGCCUUGAAUACAUUAGCAUGGAAUAAUGAGAUAGGACCUCGGUUCUAUUUUGUUGGUUUCUAGAGCUGGGGUAAUGAUUAAUAGGGAUAGUUGGGGGCAUUCGUAUUUAACUGUCAGAGGUGAAAUUCUUGGAUUUGCUAAAGACGGACUACUGCGAAAGCAUUUGCCAAGGAUGUUUUCAUUGA